rnacentral:lncRNA from 1 species
GGCACUGCAAGAUGGAAAUGUGCGUGUGUGGAAACCUGGCACCUUGGAUCCCUCCCCUCUGUCUGAGCAGGCUGGCUGGAACUCACAGAAGCUUUUUUCCCUUGGAAAAUAUUCCUCAGUGGAGCCCCAGUGUUUGACUGACACAACAAUAAUAUUUCCUCUGUGUGGGGCAGCCAGGUGAGAGAGGCUCUGCUGGCACCGCCGGGGAUGCGCUGACACCGGCUCCUGGCCCCGGCUGGAGGCUUCGAAGCACACAAUGCUUUCCACAUGGGAUUGCACCUGAAGAUUUGCACCUUUUCCAGCCUGGAAGGAGCAGCCAGAAUGACACUGCCUUGCUGAGCAGCCAGUACCCAGAUCCCCAAAAAUAUGGAAUAACCCCUUCAAGGCUCUUCUGUGCUCCCCUCGGGACAAGAAAACACUGCUUGGUUCAGCUUUGCAUCAGCACAACUCUUCCUUCAGCACAUCCUUUGGGACAGCUGCUGUCAUUACCCUCUGCUCCAGAGCUGAGCUGCACCUACUGA